rnacentral:rRNA from 1 species
UACGUAGGUGGCAAACGAUACUCGGAAUCACUAGGCGUAAAGCGCAGGUAGGCGGUUCGGUAAGUCUUUUGUGAAAGCUCCCGGCUCAACUGGGAGAGGUCAAGGGAAACUACCGGACUCGAGUGUGGUAGGGGAUACUGGAAUUCCUGGUGUAGCGGUGAAAUGCGUAGAUAUCAGGAGGAAUACCUAUGGCGAAAGCAGGUAUCUGGGCCAAUCACUGACGCUGAGCUGCGAAAGCUAGGGGAGCAAACAGGA